rnacentral:rRNA from 1 species
UGCGUAGGCGGUCUGUUAAGUCUGAUGUGAAAUCCCCGGGCUCAACCUGGGACCUGCAUUGGAUACUGGCGGGCUAGAGUACGGUAGAGGGUGGUGGAAUUCCCGGUGUAGCAGUGAAAUGCGUAGAGAUCGGGAGGAACACUCGUGGCGAAGGCGGCCACCUGGACCAGUACUGACGCUGAGGCACGAAAGCGUGGGGAGCAAACAGGAUUAGAUACCCGUGUA